UUUUACAAACAGGGUGGAGACGCUUGUUGUCCUGCUUUGGAUGAGGGUGGGCCCCUGGGCCACUUGCUGUCCAGGUCUCCCGCUCUCCUUCCCAUACCUUCGUCCGUUUCUGAGAAUUAAGUAACUCGGGGCUUGGGCCUGGGGGCGUCCUGGGCUGGCCAAAAGUCUGGGUCAUCACGGGCUCUCCGCCCUCGCUCCGGAAGAGGGGUGUCUGGGGGCCGGCAGGAGGUGAUCGAUAAGUUUCUGAGUUCCCAGGGAACUGGAAGACUCGGCUUUGUCAGGCCUGCGAAAAAGAUUUACGAGGCGGCAGCGGAGUGUCGGCCGGCUUCGCGCAGACCGCCGGCGCACCCCGUCUAAUCUUUGAUUUCCAUCUAAUUAUUUUUUUCCUGCCACCUCCAACUCAGCGUCCAGAGAGGCGAACAAAGGGAGAAUGGGGGAUGGGGCCGCCAGGCCGCGCCGAGGGGUCGGUCUGCGGACCCCGCAACGCCCAGGCGCGCGCCCCGUGCCGCCCGGGGAGGGCUAGGGAUGAGGGGUGACCGGACUGGGGCGGGAAUCCUGGGGAAGCCCGCUCCGCCGCUGGGUGAGCGCCACGACCCUUCAGUGGGGCUCGGAGCCCAAGCGGCCCGCACCGCACGGGCAGGGCUCCCAGGGAGGGGUCCCGUAGGUGCCCUUGCGCGAGAGAAGGAAAAAAAUCAUUUCCCCUAACACGGCCAUUGACCAGGCGGGGAGCGGUGAGGGCGGCCAGGCCCCUGGCAGAGGGAGACCGUGUUUCUUUUCUUGCAGCGCGGAAAAAGAUCCGCCCAAGCGGGUAACAGAAGAAAACUUGCAUUUUUCACUUUUGGGGAAAAAAAUCCAAAAUGUAAAAUCAUUUUAUUGGUCACCAUCAAUAAGUCAACUAAAAAUCGGGAUAAUUAGAGUGUGGGGAAAUCGGGAACCAUAAAUCUGAGGACCUUUCCACUGGAGUAGGGACCCUUUACAGCUUGUUGGGUUUUAUUUCGAGGGAAAUGAGGUCUAGGGCUUUGGUGGACGCGGGUCUGCGCCCCGAGUGCCACGCAGGGCCUGGAAGAGACACAGCGGUUUUCGCCUGUAGCCCUUGUCCUCAGAGGGUGGCCAUAGAAACCAUGUGCUAUGCCCCGAAGAGGGGACUUUGCGAAGCCCGGGCCCUUCCUCCUCAGCCCAGAAACCACUACUUGGAACGAACGGGUGAAGGGUCCCUGCCGCUAGGGCCAAGCACAGGGCCCAACCCGACUCUGGGAGGAGGCGUCACCUUCUUUUCCACCCACCUUGGAAAAGAUAUCAGGGUGUGCGCGGGGACUCCGGAAAAGAGGGACUUUAAUACCGUGCUCCAUUCGCUGGGGGGCUUUGCAACCCACAGCCCAUCGGCCCCCUCCGCCCGGCCUUUUGUUCUAAUCUAUUGGGGGAGGGGAGGACACAACCACCCCCCUACACACAACCAUCAAAUCCCUUAAUUUUCAAUCUUCUGCAAAACAGCCAAAGACACAUUUCACUGCAUGGGGGUUUUUAAUCCCACCGGUUGGAAGCCAAUUUUCCAAUUUCCUACAUAGCUUCUGAAAUAGCCUUCUAACAAAAUCGCUCCAAGAAAACAUCAUCUAAAGUCCAAUUAAUCAGACAGGGUUUCGCUGCGUUGUCGAGGCCGACUUCGACUUUCCAUCCUCCGUCCUCAGCCUCCCGAGUAGCUGGAAUUUCAGACGUGCGCCACCAGGCCGGGCUGAAUUCUCUUUCUUAAGAAACCCGAAAUAAAAGCGGCCCUUUCCUUCAACGCUCCCCAAUCUUCCCCUUUGUUGUAAAAACCCCGUUCCUAAGAACGUGGGCGGGGAGAAGUGCAGGUCCACAUUCAGAAGAGUUCUACCCCUGAAACUACUCUCCAAGGGUUUCUUUUGUUUGAAGUGGGCAUGGGGGAGGGGAAGGAGCCUGCUGCAGGCCGGCCACCCGCCGCCUGACCAAAAAAAAAAAAA